rnacentral:misc_RNA from 1 species
AAGUCGUAACAAGGUUUCCGUAGGUGAACCUGCGGAAGGAUCAUUAUUGAAUUUUUGGGGGUUGUAGCUGACUGUUUCAGAGUAUGUGCUCGCCUUCAACUCUUCUCUUUACCACCUGUGCACCUUUGUAGUCUCUUGAUACCUCUCAAAGAGUUCAUUCUCUUUGGAUUGAUGGACUUGCCUUCAUUGGCUUGUCUUCUAUUUCAUGAGACUAUGUCUUACAAACUCUAUACAAAACCAGAAUGUCUUUUGUAGUGUCUUUAUAUGACCUAUAAACUUAUACAACUUUUAACAACGGAUCUCUUGGCUCUC